GGGGCAAAGAAAACCGAUAAACUGCGUGAUGUAUAAAUUAUUUUGUGGGUACCAAUGAACACAACACGUAAGUCUCCCAGAUUGCGUCCAUUUAACGUAACGUACAGACAAAUCAAAUAAAUAUUUUGGCCUGCGGUUGAAUGGAGGAGACUCCUCAUAACAAUUACCCGACCCGCAACUGGCCACGUCGGCGGCGUCUGCAAAUUAAUAAUAAUCAAGCCAAAUUACACAAUGACACGCACUUGAAGUCUGAGUUGAGUCGAGUUGAGUUGAGACGCGUCUUCGGGGUCUUGAAGACUCGUGCGAGUGCUCGACUAUCAAUUAGGCACAUCUUUCAAUCAAAAAAACGACUCUGAAAACAAAAAGCAACUCUCGAGAGAUUUGUCUGUCUGUCCGUCCGUCGGUCUCACAAAGAAUUAGCGCUAAUAAUUAGAGACGCGACUUGAGGACUUGGAACUUUGGUCUAUAGAUAAAUAUCAAACAAUUAUUAUUAUCAUCGUACGCCAACGCUUCACACGAUCUCUUCAAGUGAUCUUGCCUGUGUUUUGUCUCCUGUCA